rnacentral:rRNA from 1 species
AGUGAACGCUGGCGGCAGGCCUAACACAUGCAAGUCGAGCGGCAGCGGGUCCCCGCGAGGGGAUGCCGGCGAGCGGCGGACGGGUGAGGAACACAUCGGAAUCUGCCUGGUUGUGGGGGAUAACGUAGGGAAACUUACGCUAAUACCGCAUGCGACCCUGAGUCGACGGACUUGGGGUGAAAGUGAGGGACCUUCGGGCCUCACGCGACCAGAUGAGCCGAUGUCGGAUAGCUAGUUGGCGGGGUAACGGCCCGCCAAGGCGACGAUCCGUAGCUGGUCUGAGAGGAUGAUCAGCCACACUGGGAC